GACGAACGCUGGCGGCGUGCUUAACACAUGCAAGUCGAACGGAAAGGCCCUGCUUUUGUGGGGUGCUCGAGUGGCGAACGGGUGAGUAACACGUGAGUAACCUGCCCUUGACUUUGGGAUAACUUCAGGAAACUGGGGCUAAUACCGGAUAGGAGCUCCUGCUGCAUGGUGGGGGUUGGAAAGUUUCGGCGGUUGGGGAUGGACUCGCGGGUUAUCAGCUUGUUGGUGGGGUAGUGGCUUACCAAGGCUUUGACGGGUAGCCGGCCUGAGAGGGUGACCGGCCACAUUGGGACUGAGAGACGGCCCAGACUCGUACGGGAGGCAGUCGUGGGGAAUAUUGCACAAUGGGCGGAAGCCUGAUGCAGCAACGCCGCGUGUGGGAUGCAGGCCGUCGGGUUGUAAACCGCUUUGGCCUGUGACGAAGCGUGAGUGACGGUAAUGGGUAAAGAAGCACCGGCUAACUACGUG
rnacentral:rRNA from 1 species